rnacentral:rRNA from 1 species
AUUGAACGCUGGCGGCAUGCCUUACACAUGCAAGUCGAACGGCAGCACGGGAGCAAUCCUGGUGGCGAGUGGCGAACGGGUGAGUAAUGUAUCGGAACGUACCUUUCAGUGGGGGAUAACGUAGCGAAAGUUACGCUAAUACCGCAUAUUCUGUGAGCAGGAAAGCAGGGGAUCGCAAGACCUUGCGCUGAUUGAGCGGCCGAUAUCAGAUUAGCUAGUUGGUGGGGUAAAGGCCUACCAAGGCGACGAUCUGUAGCGGGUCUGAGAGGAUGAUCCGCCACACUGGAACUGAGACACGGUCCAGACUCCUACGGGAGGCAGCAGUGGGGAAUUUUGGACAAUGGGGGCAACCCUGAUCCAGCCAUGCCGCGUGAGUGAAGAAGGCCUUCGGGUUGUAAAGCUCUUUCAGCCGGGAAGAAAUCGCAUGGGCUAAUACCCUGUGUGGAUGACGGUACCGAAAUAAGAAGCACCGGCUAACUACGUGCCAGCAGCCGCGGUAAUACGUAGGGUGCGAGCGUUAAUCGGAAUUACUGGGCGUAAAGCGUGCGCAGGCGGUUUAGUAAGACAGGCGUGAAAUCCCCGGGCUCAACCUGGGAACUGCGCUUGUGACUGCUAAGCUAGAGUACGGCAGAGGGGGGUGGAAUUCCACGUGUAGCAGUGAAAUGCGUAGAGAUGUGGAGGAACACCAAUGGCGAAGGCAGCCCCCUGGGUCGAUACUGACGCUCAUGCACGAAAGCGUGGGUAGCAAACAGGAUUAGAUACCCUGGUAGUCCACGCCCUAAACGAUGUCAACUAGGUGUUGGGUGGGUAAAACCAUUUAGUACCGGAGCUAACGCGUGAAGUUGA